AUUGAACGCUGGCGGCAGGCCUAACACAUGCAAGUCGAGCGGAUGAAGGGAGCUUGCUCCUGGAUUCAGCGGCGGACGGGUGAGUAAUGCCUAGGAAUCUGCCUGGUAGUGGGGGAUAACGUCCGGAAACGGGCGCUAAUACCGCAUACGUCCUGAGGGAGAAAGUGGGGGAUCUUCGGACCUCACGCUAUCAGAUGAGCCUAGGUCGGAUUAGCUAGUUGGUGGGGUAAAGGCCUACCAAGGCGACGAUCCGUAACUGAUCUGAGAGGAUGAUCAGUCACACUGGAACUGAGACACGGUCCAGACUCCUACGGGAGGCAGCAGUGGGGAAUAUUGGACAAUGGGCGAAAGCCUGAUCCAGCCAUGCCGCGUGUGUGAAGAAGGUCUUCGGAUUGUAAAGCACUUUAAGUUGGGAAGAAGAGCAGUAAGUGAAUACCUUGCUGUUUUGACGUUACCAACAGAAUAAGCACCGGCUAACUUCGUG
rnacentral:rRNA from 1 species